CGAAAUAGCUUACCUCCAAAAAUUCCUUCCAAACAAAGUGCCCUCUCCUCUCCACUAUUCCCACCGUCUCCAGAAAGGAUAAUGAUGGAUGGUGAUUCAACUGUUCCUGAUCAAAAUGUAGAAACCUCUUUGGUGAAAUCUAUGGGUCGGGUCACCAAUGUAUAUAUUUGGGACAUGGAUGAGACCCUUAUACUGCUGAAGUCUUUAUUGUAUGGGACUUAUGCGGAGGCUUUCAAUGGCUUAAAGGAUGUGCCUAAGGGGGUAGAAAUUGGGAAGCUGUGGGAGAAACACAUUCUUCGACUAUGUGAUGAAUUAUUCUUUUAUGAGCAAAUUGAAAACUAUAAUAUGCCAUUUCUUGAUGCCUUGAGCCGAUAUGAUGAUGGGCGAGAUCUUUCUGACUAUGAUUUCAACCAAGAUGGAUUUAGUUCUCCUUAUGAUGAUGCCAACAAAAGAAAACUAGCAUACAGACACCGAGUCAUAGCCAAUAAGUACAAACAGGGUUUGCCUGAUGUUUUUGAUCAGGAGAUGAUGAAAGUAUGGGAUGAGUUGUAUGACUUGACUGAUGAGUACACAGAUAGAUGGCUCUCUUCAGCACGGGAGUUCUUGGAGGAAUGUUCUGGAAGGAAGGAAGACCCAGUGCCCUGUCUUGCAUCUGGUGGUGUUAUGGUCAACCAUACUGACAGCAAAUUUGAGCACAUAAAUGUGUUAGUGACUUCUGGAUCAUUGAUACCCAGUCUUGUCAAGUGUUUACUCUUUCGGCUUGACAAUUUGAUAACACAUGGAAAUGUGUACAGCUCAUGGGAAGUGGGGAAACUCCAAUGCUUUCAGUGGAUCAAAGAUCGUUUUAACAGUCCAAAUUUCCAUUUUUGUGUGAUUGGGGAUGGAUACGAAGAGUGUGAAGCUGCACAGGUCAUGCGAUGGCCAUUUGUUAAGAUUGAUCCCUGUCCUGGCAGUGGUCACAGAUUUCCAGGCCUGACUUUGAGAACUGUAGGCUACUAUUUUGAUGUGGUUUAUGGGAGCUCUGAUCCUGAAAAUGAAGAAGAUGAGUCCUCAUCUCAUCUGUAAUGCAUAAUAUAUAUGUUGCAGGAUAAUUUUCUGUAUUCUCAAAGUGACAACAGCAUGGAAAUCAUGUAUAUCAAUGAUAUGGAUAUUGAUUGUUCAGAAAAGAAAUGAGGAAUUUUUUGUUUUCUUUUUGCCAUAUUCCCUUUGCUUCCAUAUUUGUAGAGAUAACAUCAUAUACUGAUUGUUGAGGCCUAUCACUAAAUUUCAGUAUGAUCGUUUAGCUUAAAUUUGUAAUAUAAUAAUCUUUCAACUGGUUGAUGGCUUGUGUGUACAGAUGUAUGCUCUUGGGAGUAUUGAUAGGCAAAGAGACCGCAUUGAUU
rnacentral:misc_RNA from 1 species